rnacentral:rRNA from 1 species
GAUGAACGCUGGCGGCGUGCCUAAUACAUGCAAGUCGAGCGAACGGACGAGAAGCUUGCUUCUCUGAUGUUAGCGGCGGACGGGUGAGUAACACGUGGAUAACCUACCUAUAAGACUGGGAUAACUUCGGGAAACCGUAGCUAACACCGGAUAAUAUUUUGAACCGCAUGGUUCAAAAGUGAAAGACGGUCUUGCUGUCACUUAUAGAUGGAUCGGCGCUGCAUUAGCUAGUUGGUAAGGUAACGGCUUACCAAGGCAACGAUGCAUAGCCGACCUGAGAGGGUGAUCGGCCACACUGGAACUGAGACACGGUCCAGACUCCUACGGGAGGCAGCAGUAGGGAAUCUUCCGCAAUGGGCGAAAGCCUGACGGAGCAACGCCGCGUGAGUGAUGAAGGUCUUCGGAUCGUAAAACUCUGUUAUUAGGGAAGAACAUAUGUGUAAGGAACUGUGCACAUCUUGACGGUACCUAAUCAGAAAGCCACGGCUAACUACGUG